UGAGCUCUCAUCCCUACUUGAGUUUGACAAGUGAAGUGUGCGAAUUUUGAUAUCUAAUUACAUUUCAGGAAUCCUAAUCAAAUUUUAUAAUUAAUUUUGGUUUUGAUGCCAUAUUUGACUUUCGUUUUUUGGUUUUGUAAGUAUUUCAUUUUAAAAUUUUAGUCUCUGUUUUUUUUAGUUUAAGGAUGGAUUUUUUUCCUACACCCAAUGAUAUUUCCAUACCAAUAAUUAUCGACGCCAGUAGAAGCUGCAACGGCAAAACUUGGUAUCAAAUAUCCAUCUACUAUACCCAGCACUGAAGAAACUCAAUUCCGUCCAUGAUUUUAUGUAAUAUUUAAGACGUAAUUGUAAAACUUAAUUUAAAUAAAAAAAUAAGAAAA